rnacentral:rRNA from 1 species
UACGUAGGUGGCAAGCGUUGUUCGGAAUUAUUGGGCGUAAAGAGCGUGUAGGCGGCCAGGUAGGUCGGUUGUGAAAACUGGAGGCUCAACCUUCAGAGGUCGACCGAAACCAUCUGGCUAGAGUCCGGGAGAGGAGAGUGGAAUUCCUGGUGUAGCGGUGAAAUGCGCAGAUAUCAGGAAGAACACCCGUGGCGAAAGCGGCUCUCUGGAACGGUACUGACGCUGAGACGCGAAAGCGUGGGGAGCGAACAGG